GCUUCGUUAGCUUAGUCGGUAGAGUACCAUUCAAAUAGGGUGGAGGCGCGGGUUCGAACCCUGUGCGAAGCG
rnacentral:tRNA from 1 species